rnacentral:rRNA from 1 species
GGACAACAGGUCAACAUUCCUGUACCGGUCAUGUUUUGGGAAGGGGGACG